GUAUAUCUAUAAGUCAGGAUGUAGGGUACUUAUUAGUGGUGAAAGUCUCUUUUAAGUGCCCUCCCCGCCAAACCUUGUAAAUUUAACUUUAAUUAGUUCCCUUGGUAGGCGUAACUGCCUGUGGAUAAAAAUUUAAACUCUUUAAUAAAUUGGCUGAAAUUAAUGUAAUUGUCUGAAAUAAUGUUAAUAUUAAAACUUUCAACAACGGAUCUCUUGGUUCU
rnacentral:misc_RNA from 1 species